rnacentral:rRNA from 1 species
UACGGGGGGGAGCAAGCGUUGUUCGGAUUUACUGGGCGUAAAGGGUGCGUAGGUGGGCUGGUAAGUCAGUGGUGAAAUCUCCAGGCUUAACUUGGAAACUGCCAUUGAUACUAUCAGUCUUGAAUACCGUGGAGGUCAGCGGAAUAUGUCAUGUAGCGGUGAAAUGCUUAGAUAUGACAUAGAACACCAAUUGCGAAGGCAGCUGGCUACACGAAUAUUGACACUGAUGCACGAAAGCGUGGGGAUCAAACAGG